AAGGUUAUCCGGUUCACGCCUUGCCAUCGGGGCAAUGCGACCCGGGUCC
rfam:Bifidobacterium adolescentis ATCC 15703 DNA, complete genome.